AGUGAACGCUGGCGGUAGGCCUAACACAUGCAAGUCGAACGGCAGCACAGUAAGAGCUUGCUCUUACGGGCGGCGAGUGGCGGACGGGUGAGGUAUACAUCGGAAUCUACUUUUUCGUGGGGGCUAACGUAGGGAAACUUACGCUAAUACCGCAUACGACCUACGGGUGAAAGCAGGGGAUCUUCGGACCUUGCGCGAUUGAAUGAGCCGAUGUCGGAUUAGCUAGUUGGCGGGGUAAAGGCCCACCAAGGCGACGAUCCGUAGCUGGUCUGAGAGGAUGAUCAGCCACACUGGAACUGAGACACGGUCCAGACACCUACAGGAGGCAGCAGUGGGGAAUAUUGGGCAAGGGGCGCAAGCCUGAUCCAGCCAUACCGCGGAGGUGAAGAAGGCCUUCGGGUUGUAAAGCCCUUUUGUUGGGAGAGAAAAACAGCAGGUUAAUACCCCGCUGUUCUGACGGUACCCAAAGAAUAAGCACCGGCUAACUUCGUG
rnacentral:rRNA from 1 species